rnacentral:rRNA from 1 species
AUAUCAAUAAGCGGAGGAAAAGAAACCAACAGGGAUUGCCCCAGUAACGGCGAGUGAAGCGGCAAGAGCUCAAAUUUGAAAUCUGGCCUCCCCCGGGGGCCCGAGUUGUAAUUUGCAGAGGAUGCUUCGGGUGCGGCCGCCGUCUAAGUUCCUUGGAACAGGACGUCAGAGAGGGUGAGAAUCCCGUCUUGGGCGGGCGGUCCGCGCCCGUGUGAAGCUCCUUCGACGAGUCGAGUUGUUUGGGAAUGCAGCUCUAAGCGGGUGGUAAAUUUCAUCUAAAGCUAAAUAUUGGCCGGAGACCGAUAGCGCACAAGUAGAGUGAUCGAAAGGUUAAAAGCACCUUGAAAAGGGAGUUAAACAGCACGUGAAAUUGUUGAAAGGGAAGCGCUUGCGGCCAGAUUCGGGGGCGGGGUUCAGCGGGUGCUCGUCGCCCGUGUAUUCCUCGUCUCCCGGGCCAGCAUCAGUUUCGACGGCCGGUCAAAGGCCCCCGGAAUGUGUCGUCUCUCGGGACGUCUUAUAGCCGGGGGUGCAAUGCGGCCCGUCGGGACUGAGGAACGCGCUCCGGCUCGGAUGCUGGCGUAAUGGCCGUAAGCGGC